CCCUUCCCCCUACUACCAACCCUGACCCCACCACCCAAAUUACUCAUACACCCCAUAUGGCCCUUCACAACCCUACUACAUACCACCGGAGCCACAUCUCUCCAUUCACCAUGCUCAAGCUUAUACUCAGCCUUCGGCUCAUGCGCAAUGGUGUGCAGUGACUCCCCAAAACACAUACCCACCUCCACAAAACACAUAUCCACCCCCGAGGGCCUAUAGAAAUCCUCCAGGGUCCAGUUUCCAUGGAAUCAAGCUUUCAAGAAUGAGAGGGUGCAGAAACAGAGAACAUUCACUCCACUAGGGGAGGUAUAUA
rnacentral:lncRNA from 1 species